rnacentral:rRNA from 1 species
CAGUAGCGUCUGAGGACGAUCAUUAUUGAAGUUGAAUCGAGGGGUUGUAGCUGGCUCUCUUUCGGAGCAUGUGCACGCCUUUCGUCACUUUCUUACCACCUGUGCACCUUUGUAGACUCGGAUGGAUGUCUGAAACAUCUCAGUAUUCGUACUGGAUAGGGGUUUGCUCUUCGGCUUUCCCUGAAUUGACGAUGUCCGUUUCUUGUCUAUGUUUUUCAUACACACUUUGAAUGUAUCAGAAUGUUUAUCAUGGGUCUUGUACCUAUAAACUUAAUACAACUUUCAACAACGGAUCUCUUGGCUCUCGCAUCGAUGAAGAACGCAGCGAAAUGCGAUAAGUAAUGUGAAUUGCAGAAUUCAGUGAAUCAUCGAAUCUUUGAACGCACCUUGCACCCUUUGGUAUUCCGAAGGGUAUGCCUGUUUGAGUGUCAUUAAAUUCUCAACCUCAAAAAGUUUGUCUUUCUUGAGGCUUGGAUGUGGGGGCUGCGGGCUUCUUAGAAGUCGGCUCUCCUUAAAUGCAUUAGUGGAAACGUUUGGAUCCCUCCCACUUGGUGUGAUAGUUAUCUACGCCAGCCGGUGAUAUCUAUUUGGCUUUCUGCUUCAAACUGUCUAUUAAAUUAGACAACAUUUGACCAUCUUGACCUCACAUCAGGUAGGACUACCCGCUGAACUUAAGCAUAUCAUUAACGCGAGAGAAAUUC